rnacentral:rRNA from 1 species
UACGUAGGGCGCGAGCGUUGUCCGGAUUUAUUGGGCGUAAAGCGCGUGUAGGUGGCCAUGUAGGUCCGCUGUGAAAACUUGAGGCUCAACCUCAAGCUGUCGGUGGAAACCACAUGGCUAGAGUCCGGAAGAGGAGAGUGGAAUUCCUGGUGUAGCGGUGAAAUGCGCAGAUAUCAGGAAGAACACCAAUGGCGAAGGCAGCUCUCUGGGACGGUACUGACACUGAGACGCGAAAGCGUGGGGAGCGAACAGG